rnacentral:rRNA from 1 species
CAGGUGAUCAGGUAGAGAAUACCAAGGCGCUUGAGAGAACUGCGUUGAAGGAACUCGGCAAAUUGCACGCGUAACUUCGGAAGAAGCGUGACCUGUAUUUACGCAAGUAGAUAUAGGUGGCACAGACCAGGGGGUAGCGACUGUUUAUCAAAAACACAGGGCUCUGCGAAGUCGCAAGACGACGUAUAGGGCCUGACGCCUGCCCGGUGCUGGAAGGUUAAGAGGAGAGGUG